GUUAAGUCAGAUGUGAAAGCCCCGGGGCUUAACCUCGGAAUUGCAUUUGAAACUGGCAGGCUAGAGUCUUGUAGGAGGGGGUAGAAUUUCAGGUGUAGCGGUGAAAUGCGUAGAGAUCUGAAGGAAUACCAGUGGCGAAGGCCGGCCCCCCUGGACAAAGACUGACGCUCAGAUGCGAAAGCGUGGGGAGCAAACAGGAUUAGAUACCCCUGGUAG
rnacentral:rRNA from 1 species